rnacentral:lncRNA from 1 species
CCUCAUCAAAGCCAGAGCGGGCUGCACCUGUUUUAUUUAGUCUGGAUGGAUGAAGCCAUUGUACAAGGUUUAGGGCUGCAAAGGUCUACAAUAAAUCCAGUCUUAUCUGCACCACGUGGGAAAACUUCACAAAGGCUGUACACUCCUCAGCUCAUCUCUGGUGAUAGUGUAGUUGUCCUUCGACAUUCACGGCGUAUUCUCUUUUCUUGUUGAAAUUGCAGUCUUGAAUGAUAAAAGCUUUAGUGCGAUUUGAUGAAUUUCCAUAAGGCACUUGCCUGGGCAUCACAUGACUGAGCAACUGGAGCACCAGCAAUACUACCGUAAGCCCAGUGAACUGCCAGGUCUCAGAGUAAUUAUAAAUGAGGAAUCACCAUGAGAUGAAUACAUUUCUAGUGGAGGACCUCAGUGAAAUCUCCAGUUCUGAGCUCUCAUGUUCCAGCUCCCCUCUCAGCGCAUCUCUCCCACGCAUCUUUGCUGCAAAAAAAAAAAAGAAAAAAGCCUUGUGCCUCAUCUCCAUGUCCUUCCUUUGUGCCUGAGGAAAGGCACAGCCUGGCUUCUCCUCUGAUGCUCGUGUCUUCCAACCGUCAGGGGUCUCUGGCAGCAAUCAUCUCAGUCCCAGAGCUGAAGGAGGAGUGGUCGGUGAAGAGAGCUCCUAGCAAGAGGGUGAGGGACCCUCUUUCCUCAUCUUUCCCCUACUUCUGCACAGAGAAAGGCGGAGCACAAGAAAAGCACAGCCCACCACAACCUACCAGUGCUGUGUGCUCCUUGAAGACCAAACCCACAGCCACACAUCCUGGGCAGACAGAAGUCUCCUCUAAGCAGGCGUGGUGGUUUGAACCAUGGUGCCCAGAGUCUACGCCUGUCAGAGCCACCCACGGAGCAGCAGAGGGCUGAAAGGGCCAACUGGAACCGCAAGAUCUGGUGAGGACCCGAGAACUGGAGACAGACAAAGAACUUGGAUCCAUCUGCUAACAUGAAGUCAUCACCUGAUUGCAAAGCCAGAGAGCUGGGAGAGCAUUUGAAUGGCUGCUGCUGCUGCCGCAGUGAUAAAUUAGAUAGCUUUGAGAGCACUUUAGAGCUGGGCGGAAAAUUCAGUUGCUCUCCUGCCAAUUUCAUCCUGUAAGUGGAAUUAACGCUUGCUUUAGCUGCACUCUCCAGCCAUGAGCAAGUGUCCCUUGUUCACUGUCUCCAAGGGAUUUUGCUCUCUGGGAAUGGUGUGUAUCUGAAGCAGGAGGAAGCGGGCAGAGGAGAGGCUUAGCUGCGUGCACAGCACCAAGGGGAGCACCACAGGAACAUGGGCCCAUCUUGGCCCUAGUGCCUCACUCAGACAGCUUAGACCUGGGUCUGAAAAGCAAGGUUUGAGACCACCGAUGAGGCAGUGGCU